AACGAACGCUGGCGGCGUGCCUAACACAUGCAAGUCGUACGAGAAACACGUCCUUCGGGAUGUGGAGUAAAGUGGCGCACGGGUGAGUAACACGUGGGUAACCUGCCUUGGGGAUCGGGAUAACUGGCCGAAAGGCCCGCUAAUACCGGAUGAGACCACAUGAGCUACGGCUCAAGGGGUCAAAGUCGGCCUCUCAACGAAGCCGGCACCACAAGAUGGCCCGCGGACCAUUAGCUAGUUGGUAGGGUAACGGCCUACCAAGGCUGAGAUGGGUAGCUGGUCUGAGAGGAUGAUCAGCCACACUGGAACUGAGAUACGGUCCAGACUCCUACGGGAGGCAGCAGUGAGGAAUAUUGCGCAAUGGAGGAAACUCUGACGCAGCAACGCCGCGUGGGUGAAGAAGGCUUUCGGGUUGUAAAGCCCUGUCAGGCGGGAAGAAACUUCCGCAGGUGAAUAGUCUGUGGAACUGACGGUACCGCCAAAGGAAGCACCGGCUAACUCCGUGCCAGCCGCCGCGGUAA
rnacentral:rRNA from 1 species